UGUGGCUCCGCCCACUGUAACCUGAACCCUCUGAGGCCUACCCCGGCUGUCAUUGGAUGAAAGCGGUCCACCUGAGCUAGCAUAGCCGCUGCUGCUCUCCUCAGACGGCUUUGACUUUUCAGUCUGCAGUUAAUUGCUAACAUGUUUUUGGAAAGGCGGCGGGCGCGUGCACAUCUGACCCGGGGCCUUCCCGCCGUGCUGGGCGCGGGCCGGCGUGCAGAUCGCUCUUGAUGUGGUUAGUGGUUAUGUUUGAUUCACUCAGAAGGAGCAGCGUCUGAUCAGACACUCUUCUUUCUCCAAGAGUCUGGAGACGGAAAAAGGAUCCUUAAUGCAGAUCAACUUCUCUGAGGAGGAGAUGGUCUCCUCGUGGUUUCAUCUCAGUGAAACAUGGAACUUUAACCAGAAACAAUAGACCAGAGAUGAAGAGAUUUCAUCUGUGCAAACACAUCACAGUCGACAGUGAGACGGCGAGGGGAACUCCACCCUGAAGCCCGGGCUUUUUCAGCUCGCACCUUUUCCCGUCACUUCAGGCCUCACAAAGGUCCAUUCUGGAUCUGAGUGGAGCAGCAGCAGGACCGGCUUUGUGAUGGUGGCGAGUUUCUGGACCAAUGUCUCUCCUGUAACCAGGAGAAGUGUUAGUGGGCGUGUCCUCUGCAGCCGGGGAUAAAGGGCCCAUACCAUGAUUGUCUGAAUCCUUCCAGAGUAAACAAUAUCCAUGCAGAUAAUCAGAUAUUCUGAAGGUUCUGGAGUGCACGAGGAACCACAGCGACCCCAAAGACGUCUGCAGGACGUUUCUGACGGUAAAUGAGAAGCUAAGAGAAGUUUCUUUCGUAACGUUGCAUUUACGACAGAACUAAUAAUUGUGCUGCUGUCUGUUUCUAUAGGUGUGCACGUGUCUAUACGUGUGAGGAAACGUACAUUAGCUCUGGCGUAAUAUACUGCAUAACUCCAGAUAGUUCUGAUUUACUUACAGGUUCUGCAUCAGGUUUGAUCGUAGGAAUGGUUCCGGC